rnacentral:rRNA from 1 species
UAACAGGAGAGUUUGAUCCUGGCUCAGGACGAACGCUGGCGGCGUGCCUAACACAUGCAAGUCGAACGGGCCUAGAAGUUGGAGGUAAAACUUCCAACCUCUAGGCAAGUGGCGGACGGGUGAGUAACGCGUGGGCAAUCUACCCAUAAAGCGGGGAUAACACCGGGAAACCGGUGCUAAUACCCGAUAAACUCCUGGUAGGGCAUCCUAUUAGGAGGAAAGGCGG